UACGUAGGGUGCAAGCGUUGUCCGGAUUUAUUGGGCGUAAAGAGCGUGUAGGCGGCCAUGCAGGUCAGCUGUGAAAACUCGAGGCUCAACCUCGAGACGUCGGUUGAAACCGUAUGGCUAGAGUCCGGAAGAGGAGAGUGGAAUUCCCGGUGUAGCGGUGAAAUGCGCAGAUAUCGGGAAGAACACCUAUGGCGAAGGCAGCUCUCUGGGACGGUACUGACGCUGAGACGCGAAAGCGUGGGGAGCAAACAGG
rnacentral:rRNA from 1 species